rnacentral:rRNA from 1 species
UUGGAGGGCAAGUCUGGUGCCAGCAGCCGCGGUAAUUCCAGCUCCAAUAGCGUAUAUUAAAGUUGUUGCAGUUAAAAAGCUCGUAGUUGAAUUUCGGGGUUUAUACGUUGGUCGGGCUUUUGGGUCUGUACUGGCGUAAUGAAUUCCUACCUUCUGAAUAACCAGCAUGUCAUUAAUUUGAUGCGCCGGGGAAGCAGGACUGUUACCUUGAAAAAAUUAGAGUGCUUAAAGCAGGCUAUUGCCUGAAUACAUUAGCAUGGAAUAAUGAGAUAGGACGGCAUGGUUCUAUUUUGUUGGUUUCUAGGAUCACCGUAAUGAUUAAUAGGGAUAGUUGGGGGCAUUAGUAUUCAAUUGUCAGAGGUGAAAUUCUUGGAUUUAUUGAAGACUAACUUCUGCGAAAGCAUUUGCCAAGGAUGUUUUCAUUAAUCAAGAACGAAAGUUAGGGGAUCGAAGACGAUCAGAUACCGUCGUAGUCUUAACCAUAAACUAUGCCGACUAGGGAUCGGACGAUGUUAAUUUUUUAAUGACUCGUUCGGCGCCUUACGGGAAAC